rnacentral:rRNA from 1 species
GUGCCAGCAGCCGCGGUAAUACGUAGGGGGCAAGCGUUGUCCGGAUUUACUGGGCGUAAAGAGCGCGUAGGCGGAAGCUUAAGCGGUGCCUGAAAGCCCCCGGCUCAACCGGGGAGGGUGGUGCCGAACUGGGUUUCUUGAGGGCGACAGGGGAGGGUGGAAUUCCGGGUGUAGCGGUGAAAUGCGUAGAUAUCCGGAGGAACACCAGGGGCGAAGGCGGCCCUCUGGGUCGGCCCUGACGCUGAGGCGCGAAAGCGUGGGGAGCGAACGGGAUUAGAAACCCCUGUAGUCC